rnacentral:tRNA from 1 species
UAGGGGAGUCGCCAAGCUGGUUAAGGCACCGGAUUUUGAUUCCGGCAUGCGAAGGUUCGAAUCCUUCCUCCCCUGCCCA